ACCUCAAAUGUUUUACCUGGUUGUAGGGCCCAGCUGUCAUCUCCUCUUCCUUCUCCCGUGCUUAUCCUCGCUCCCGAAGCCUCCCGAACCGGCCAGCUCACUUCCGUGCUCAAGUCGCCCACGCCUCUCCACUCUCCCUCUCGUGCGUGUGCCGAGCCAUGGCUGCCACGGCCACGAGCCGAGCUCGCCCCUGCCAGAGCCCCAUGUCCCCAAAACCCUAGCCCCCUUCCUCCAUUGCUGCCGCCAGCCCAAGCUCUGCUUGCCGCCGGCCGCUGUCGAUUGCCUCCUCCGGUGCCCCGCUGGAGCUCUCCCAUCGGCGCCGCCUGUUCUUGUUGCGCCGCCCCCUCCGCCGCCGUUCCUGCAGUCUGUGUCGCCGGUGAGUGACUGAACCGUCGGAGAACGAACCCGUUGAGCCUGCCAAGUCCGUCGAGCCUGAACCCGGAGUCCCGUUCGUGGUCGAGCCCGAAGUUAACCAAGGCAAGCAGCUAAGCAUAAAUCCUUGCACCUAUUUAAUUUGAUUAGUUUAGUUAUCUCAUCGGGUAAUGUUGGGUAUAUAAAUUAUGUACAUAUUGCAUUCUUGUACCCACUUUAAUGCAUUGUCCUUCCUUGAUUGGUUUAUCCAUGUCCUUGUCACUUGUUAGUCAGAUAAUUACUUAACUUGACUAGAUGCUUAGCUCUGCUUAGGAUACUCAUCCUUCUUACUAGAAACAACAGCUAGAGUAUCACAUUUACCGAUUACCCUUGAUUGCAUUGGUUGGGUUUGGUUGUUAGUGAAGUGAUAGUACCGAGAUUCGAGCGGAAUGGUAGGGCCUAGAGAAUAAAGUCACAUGGGCAUAGUCCGCUUGGAUCGAUUAAGGACCGAGUGGAUGCCAUCGGCCUUGAGCACCUUUUCGUGCUACCACAUAU